rnacentral:rRNA from 1 species
GAUGAACGCUGGCGGCGUGCCUAAUACAUGCAAGUCGAGCGAACAGACGAGGAGCUUGCUCCUCUGACGUUAGCGGCGGACGGGUGAGUAACACGUGGAUAACCUACCUAUAAGACUGGGAUAACUUCGGGAAACCGGAGCUAAUACCGGAUAAUAUAUUGAACCGCAUGGUUCAAUAGUGAAAGACGGUUUUGCUGUCACUUAUAGAUGGAUCCGCGCCGCAUUAGCUAGUUGGUAAGGUAACGGCUUACCAAGGCGACGAUGCGUAGCCGACCUGAGAGGAUGAUCGGCCACACUGGAACGGAGACACGGUCCAGACUCCUACGGGAGGCAGCAGUUGGGAAUAUUCCACAAUGGGCGAAAGCCUGACAAAGCAACACCGCGUGAGUGAAGAAGGUCUUCGGAUCGUAAAACUCUGUUAUUGGGGAAGAAAAAAAGUAGAAGAAACUAUGCACGUCUUGACGGUACCUAAUGAAAAAGCAACGGCUAACUCCGUG